GCCGGGUGCAGUGGUGCACACCUGUAAUCCCAGUGGCUCGGGAGGCUGAGGCAGGAGGAUCACAAGUUCAAAGCCAGCCUCAGCAACGAUGAGUCACUGAGCAACUCAGUGAGUCCCUGUCUCUA
rnacentral:sRNA from 1 species